rnacentral:rRNA from 1 species
ACUGGGCGUAAAGGGCGUGCAGGCGGCCUGGUCAGUGAGAUGUGAAAGCUCCUGGCUCAACCAGGGAACUGCAUCUCAUACUGCCAGGCUUGAGGACGGGAGAGGAGACGGGAAUUCCCGGUGUAGCGGUGAAAUGCACUGAUAUCGGGAGGAACACCAGUGGCGAAGGCGCGUCUCUGGCCCGAUCCUGACGCUCAGGCGCGAAAGCUGGGGGAGCAAACAGGAUUAGAUACCCUGGUAGUCCCAGCUGUAAACGGUGAACACUAGGUGUGGGGGGCAUCGACCCCUUCCGUGCCGCAGCUAACGCAUUAAGUGUUCCGCCUGGGGAGUACGACCGCAAGGUUGAAACUCAAAGGAAUUGACGGGGGCCCGCACAAGCGGUGGAGCAUGUGGUUUAAUUCGAUGCAACGCGCAGAACCUUACCCAGGCUUGACAUGCACUGGACAGGUGUGGAAACACACCCUCCCUUCGGAGUCGGUGCACAGGUGCUGCAUGGCUGUCGUCAGCUCGUGUCGUGAGAUGUUGGGUUAAGUCCCGCAACGAGCGCAACCCUUGCCCUUAGUUGCCAGCAUUUCGGAUGGGCACUCUAAGGGGACUGCCGGCGAUGAGCCGGAGGAAGGUGGGGAUGACGUCAAGUCCUCAUGGUCCUUAUGUCUGGGGCUACACACGUGCUACAAUGGCCGGUACAGAGGGUCGCGAUGCCGCGAGGUGGAGCUAAUCCCAAAAAGCCGGUCUCAGUUCGGAUUGCAGUCUGCAACUCGACUGCAUGAAGCUGGAAUCGCUAGUAAUCG